UACUCUUCCAUCUUUUGUCCUACCUAAGUGCAAACAAAGACAUACUCUAACAAUGCCCGUUCUAGGCUCUCGAACUCGCCGUCCAUGGCGACUCGCAGAUGGAUGAGGUAUUCGGCGACUUCCAGGUGGUUGACGACUUCUUGCAUCAUGGCUUUGCAGGGUAGAUUGGUGACCAGUACAACAGAGCCCAUUCUUAUCAGUUUCCUAAUUGUUCUACGUCCAAGCAAACUGUGAGCUUGUAGAGCCGUUGAGACUCUGCACGGGAGUCUUUUUGGAGGAGAGGUUCUUGGAGUGAUUUUGCCCCUCCUUUCCCAGUGCCAGUGCACCUUUUUUUUCUUUGAGUGACACGUUCUAGGGUCACCAGUGGUUCAGUUUCUGAGGUGUGACCACUGGACUACGAAAUGGUCGCCGCCGCCCGAGGUUCCAGAGCCUUCUCUGACGGUAACGUGACAAAACCUUAUUCAAUUUGAUAGAAUACGUUAUUUUGUACUUUUUCUAACUUAUGCUGUUAUUUGUUAGUUAGAGAAAGGGGUCGCCAGUUUGCGACUCCUACGGACCCCUUUCCACUUUGCUUGGAUGUAAGGACCCCUCACAGCAGGACUUGCCCGGAUUUGGUGGCUUGAGGCGACUUACUCAUCCAUUUAAGAACACUAACGAUUUUGAGCAAAUUCUUUUUCUCUCUAAAUGGAGCGCAACAUCAUCACGAACAUACUGUCAGAGACAACGAUCGGUGAUCUUGUUGUUCACAUCGAGUCCGUCAACACACUACGGCGCCUCGGGCUCGCCGUCGACAGCGAGGGACGGCCGAUUUGAUUGGACAGUCGAUGAAGGUGGUGAGGAGGUGGGUCCUAGCCUCGACGUUGAAGCGGAAGCUGAGGAGGAGGAGGGAGAGGCAGAGGAAUGUGAUCGGUUGUUGUACGUGGCUGCAAGGUUCGCUUACGUGUACUUCCACUUGUGGCGGGUUAAGGUAUGGGGUCCUUAAUAUAACACCGCUACAACUAGUAGUACAUGUAAGUGAACCUCACAGCCACGUACAACACCCGAUCACAUUCUGCCAUGAACAACCACCACGCCAUUGGCAUCCUCCGGCCUCAUCAACUCCCAAACCACCGCACAAAUCCUCACCACGCAGCCUUGAUCUUCCUCUCCCACCCGGUCACAUUCCUCUCCUCCCUCCUCCUCCUCACCAACUUCAUCGACAAAAAAAGACGAAAAAUCAAAACUAGACCACGGACUGUGGGCGUACAUGCACCGUGAAGGACAAACUCUGCAACGGCAAAACCAGAUGGCUGUCCCUCGUGCGCCGUUGAGGGCGAGGUCUAGGCAUUGUAGUAUACUCACGGACUCAAUGUGAUGAACAAGAGCUCCAAUCGUCGUCUCUGGCGGGAUAUGUGUGAUGAGGAUAUGCUCCAUUUGGAGAGAGAGAAUGCGAGCGAGAGAGGGGGUUGGUUGAGGGAGCAGCUCACUCGAGGUACUAAGUGUAGCGCGGUAAUACAGAGAGAGAGUUGGAGAGAGAGAGAGAAUCUAGCUGACUCAUCAUUCAGGAAGGAUAAAACGGUUUCAAUUGUUACGGAAAGCACGUGCCACGCUUGACUAUCGCUUCUGGUGUGACAAUCCUGUAAAUUUUAGUUUAUUUUGCCAAAAAGGCUUACAAUUUGAUUUGGCUCGGGGAGAGGAAUAAUAAAAGCGUAAUCCAAUUUGGAAAGAAAAUCAUAAAGGAAAAAAAAGUUAAACGUUGAAUUUUUUUGACCUAUCUAAAAUUCAUGUAACGAAUCCCAUUUGCAGAGGAAAAAAUGAAACGAAAAAAGAAGCUUCUUUAGAGAUAAUAUAACAAAAGUGUUUUUGUUUUUAAUUUUUUGAGUUCAAGAACAAAAGUGUAGAGACAUAGAAAUUGUAUAAAACACCACACACACAAAUAAUGGGUACGUGGCUCUUGCAGAAUCGAACCGUUUAUUGUCGAGAUAAAAUCUAAAUCAUUAAUAGUCGAGAUGCAAGACUUCAAUUGUGCACUACAACCCCCAGUUCCUCGCAAUGGUUAGGAGGCCUCUAUGUUCCUACGAAGGUUUCGUGGGUGUGAGUGUUACGUGCAAAAAUUUGUUUCUUUGGGUUUGAGAAUAUAUGAAAAUUCUAAGGAAACCCCGUGCGUACCGAUGGCACGCAGGGCUCGAAUUGGGCCACGCACAGAUGAUCUCAAUCGUUUAAUAAUUUAAAAAAAAUGAUUGGACUUAUGAAAAAUCAGUCCAAUCCGAUAUGCAUAGGUAAUCGAUCUAAUCUUUCAUUUUUUAACAAAUUCAAAAUCUAAAUGGAAAAAUAGAAGUUUGGAUGAAGCAAAAUCGUAAAAUUUAAAAAAAAAAUUAUUGAACGGAUUGCAUAGUCAUUUCUAAAACGACACACUCUCUCUAAGCUUUUCAACCAAUUAGGGUUCUGUUCUUGGGGGAGGGGGCGCCGCUAUCUCGUUCUCCCCUCCCCCUGUUUCUCUCUCCUCUCCCCUCCUCGUCCAUCUCUCCUCUUGUCCGGCUCCUUUUCCUUCUCUAGGUUUUGGGUCAGCAGGUGGUGGUGUUUUCUGGCGAGGUGUCCGAUGUUUGCGGUGGCCCGGUUCGGCUCACCCCUACCUUUUUAAAUCCGGCGAGGUAGGGGUGGCAGUGAGGCUAAUAAGGACUGAGGUCGGGCGAAGAAGUUAGGUUUUUCUAUUUUCUUCGAUUUUGUACAGUGUUUUCUCCCAGCUGGGUUUCCCUUAGUCCGGUGUCUUUACCCCAGAUAUGGUGGCGAAAAAAGUUUCAUUGGUUUGUUUUUGCGUGGUCUGAUGAGGUCUCGUUGAUGGCUUUGGGAUUUGGUUAACGGACUGCUUCCAGUACCCGCCGUGGACGCGACGGCAAGACGAUUCUCAUUGCCGUCAGGUUGUUGUCGUGAUGCUUUGGUAGCGUUUGGUUUUUGAAUAGCAGUUUGAUUUGAGUGGCUGCUUCUCGGCUUGUCCGUGUGUUAGGGGGGGGAUUGUAAUGUCCAGAAAUAGCAAUGUCAUCUUUUCGGCAGCACGUCGAUUAUCAACGUUGUGUAGGUUGCCGCUCUGGCCUUUAUUGUUUAUUGCGUGUUUUGUAAUGCAGGAUUUUGUUUUUC